rnacentral:rRNA from 1 species
AACGAACGCUGGCGGCGUGGAUAAGACAUGCAAGUCGAACGAGAAACUGCAUUAGCUUGCUUUUGUAAUGUUUCUAGUGGCGGACGGGUGAGUAACACGUGAGUAAUCUGCCCUAAAGUGGGGGAUAGCCAUCCGAAAGGGUGAUUAAUACCGCAUGUGAUCGCAAGAUUAAAGGUGCCUUCGGGUGCCGCUUUAGGAUGGGCUCGCGGCCUAUCAGCUAGUUGGUGAGGUAAUAGCUCACCAAGGCAACGACGGGUAGCUGGUCUGAGAGGAUGAUCAGUCACACUGGAACUGAGACACGGUCCAGACACCUACGGGUGGCAGCAGUCGAGAAUCAUUCGCAAUGGGGGAAACCCUGACGGUGCGACGCCGCGUGGAGGACAUGAAGGCUCUAGGGUCGUAAACUCCUGUCAUCGGUGAGUAAGGCACGGUUGUUAAAAGCAUCCGUGAUUGAUAGUAGCCGAAGAGGAAGAGACGGCUAACUCUG